rnacentral:rRNA from 1 species
CCUACGGGUGGCAGCAGUGAGGAAUAUUGGUCAAUGGACGCAAGUCUGAACCAGCCAUGUCGCGUGCAGGAUGACGGCUCUAUGAGUUGUAAACUUCUUUUAUACGGGGGUAAAUCACGGUACGUAUAUCCGGUUGUAAGUAACGUACGAAUAAGGAUCGGCUGACUCCGUGCCAGCAGCCGCGGUAAUACGGAGGAUUCAAGCGUUAUCCGGAUUUAUUGGGUUUAAAGGGAGCGUAGGGGGUUUGAUAAGUUAGAGGUGAAAUCCUGGGGCUCAACCCCGGCACUGCCGUUGAUACUGUCGGUCUUGAGUUGAGUUGAGGUAGGCGGAAUGCGUGGUGUAGCGGUGAAAUGCAUAGAGAUCACACAGAACUCCGAUUGCGAAGGCAGCUUACUGGACUACGACUGACGUUGAUGCACGAAAGCGUGGGGAUCAAACAGGAUUAGAUACCCUUGUAGUC